GACAGAGGGUGCAAACGUUGUUCGGAAUUACUGGGCGUAAAGCGCGUGUAGGCGGCCCUGUAAGUCGGGUGUGAAAUCCCACGGCUCAACCGUGGAAGUGCAUUCGAAACUACAGAGCUGGAGUCCUGGAGAGGAAGGCGGAAUUCUCGGUGUAGAGGUGAAAUUCGUAGAUAUCGAGAGGAACACCGGUGGCGAAGGCGGCCUUCUGGACAGUGACUGACGCUGAGGUGCGAAAGCGUGGGGAGCAAACAGG
rnacentral:rRNA from 1 species